UGUGCUCACUUCGGCAGCAUAAAAUACGAAAAUUGGAAAGACACAGAGAUUAGCAUGGCCUCUGUGCAAUGGUGAUAAUACAAAUCUGUGAAGCCUUCCAAGUCAGA
rfam:Pteropus alecto contig97333, whole genome shotgun sequence.